CGGGCGUUAAGUUGCAGGGUAUAGACCCGAAACCCGGUGAUCUAGCCAUGGGCAGGUUGAAGGUUGGGUAACACUAACUGGAGGACCGAACCGACUAAUGUUGAAAAAUUAGCGGAUGACCUGUGGCUGGGGGUGAAAGGCCAAUCAAACCGGGAGAUAGCUGGUUCUCCCCGAAAGCUAUUUAGGUAGCGCCUCGUGAAUUCAUCUCCGGGGGUAGAGCACUGUUUCGGCUAGGGGGCCAUCCCGGCUUACCAACCCGAUGCAAACUGCGAAUACCGGAGAAUGUUAUCACGGGAGACACACGGCGGGUGCUAACGUCCGUCGUGAAGAGGGAAACAACCCAGACCGCCAGCUAAGGUCCCAAAGUCAUGGUUAAGUGGGAAACGAUGUGGGAAGGCCCAGACAGCCAGGAUGUUGGCUUAGAAGCAGCCAUCAUUUAAAGAAAGCGUAAUAGCUCACUGGUCGAGUCGGCCUGCGCGGAAGAUGUAACGGGGCUAAACCAUGCACCGAAGCUGCGGCAGCGACACUGUGUGUUGUUGGGUAGGGGAGCGUUCUGUAAGCCUGUGAAGGUGUGUCGUGA
rnacentral:rRNA from 1 species